AGAGUUUGAUUAUGGCUCAGGAUGAACGCUGGCGGCAUGCCUAAUACAUGCAGGUCGAACGAACUACCCCUAUGACCUUGAAAGUGCUUGCACUGGAUUGUGAUUAGAAUUUGUAGUUAGUGGCGGACGGGUGAGUAACACGUGGGUUACCUGCCACGCAGAAUGGAAUAACUAUUGGAAACGAUAGCUAAUACCGUAUAUGACCUUCGGGUUGAAAGGAGCGUUUGCUUCGCUGUGUGAUGGGCCUGCGGCGCAUUAGCUAGUUGGUACGGUAAAGGCGUACCAAGGCGACGAUGCGUAGCCGGAGUGAGAGCUCGAUCGGCCACAUUGGGACUGAGACACGGCCCAAACUUCUACGGGAGGCAGCAGUAGGGAAUUUUCCGCAAUGGACGAAAGUCUGACGGAGCAAUGCCGCGUGAGUGAUGAAGGUUUUCGAAUCGUAAAGCUCUGUUGUAAGGGAAGAAUAGCAAGAAUAGGAAAUGAUUCUUGUCUGACGGUACCUUACCAGAAAGCCACGGCUAACUACGUGCCAGCAGCCGCGGUAAU
rnacentral:rRNA from 1 species